CAGAGGUCUGGAGCAGGGGCGGGACGGAUCCAGGCCUCCCUCAUGCCCACUGUUCUACCCCACCCUGUCCUGCCUGCACGUGCCCUGCAGAACUCCAUUUCCUGAGAUCUGGAAUAAAGCCUUUGGAUCUUGAGUUUUUUUGUCAGAAGGCAAAUAUCCCUGAGAAACCAGGCUGAGUCCCUCAGAGGAGGGAAGUAGGGAAAGUGCCAGAAGGGGACCGUGGAAGGGAAAGGUGGAAAAUGGGAGGAUAAAGACUCCUGCAAAUGUCUGAGGAGGAGGGAGCAGAGCCACCCUAGUCAGCUGAGGGCCUGCCCUACCUCACAUCUUCUGCACCAGCCUCCACCCAGGUGGCCCCGUAGGAGGGCAGGCCCUGCCCCAAUGCCUGCUCUCAGGCAGAGGAGGGGCUCCAGGAGCAAGGAGAGCAAGGCUGGACAGGAUCACUGUCUUGGCAGCUUUCCAGGGCGGCCUGGAAAGGGGCAUGUGGUGCGGGUCCAUUCCAUUCCCCUUCCCCCACCUCCUUGACCAUCACCCCCAGCUCCCUGGUCUCUGGUUGGGAUGAGGGAAUAGGAACCUCUGCAGGAGUUUGGAGGGAGGUCAGGUACCCUUGGCCAUUGUCUUCAUGACCUUCCAGCCACCUUAAAUCUGUUCUUCUGAGGGGCCCUUCAGAUGACCCCAGGAAACCGGGAUUGGACGUUGGCAUUGAGUCCACCCAGCUCUCCCUUUCACAGAUGGAGACGGUGAAGCACAGAGGUCUUCGAGUAUAUGCUGAUGAUGCUUAGUGGUGGUCCUCGGGAAGCGAUUCAAGCACUGGAUGUCUGGUGGACCCGUCCUGGUGACUUUGGGCUCUAUUUUCACCUUGAAAAAGUGGCAUUUGAAUUGUCUUUGUUCUCAGCAGAGAGAGCUGACACCCAUUCUUCACUUGAU